rnacentral:rRNA from 1 species
AUGGGGAAUAUUGCACAAUGGGCGCAAGCCUGAUGCAGCCAUGCCGACGUGUAUGAAGAAGGCCUUCGGGUUGUAAAGUACUUUCAGCAGUGAGGAAGGUGGAUAUGUUAAUAGCAUAUUCAUUUGACGUUAGCUGCAGAAGAAGCACCGGCUAACUCCGUGCCAGCAGCCGCGGUAAUACGGAGGGUGCGAGCGUUAAUCGGAAUUACUGGGCGUAAAGCGCAUGCAGGUGGUUUGUUAAGUCAGAUGUGAAAGCCCCGGGGCUCAACCUCGGAAUUGCAUUUGAAACUGGCAAACUAGAGUACUGUAGAGGGGGUAGAAUUUCAGGUGUAGCGGUGAAAUGCGUAGAGAUCUGAAGGAAUACCGGUGGCGAAGGCGGCCCCCUGGACAGAUACUGACACUCAGAUGCGAAAGCGUGGGGAGCAAACAGGAUUAGAUACCCUGGUAG